GGAAUUGACGGAAGGGCACCACAAGAAGUGGAGCCUGCGGCUUAAUUUGACUCAACACGGGCAAUCUCACCAGGCCAGGACACCGGAAGGAUUGACAGAUUGAGAGCCCUCUCUUGAUUCGGUGGGAUGUGGUGCAUGGCCGUUCAUAGUUGGUGGAUCGAUUUGUCUGCUUAAUUGCGUUAACGAACGAGACCCGAGCCUGCUAACUAGUCGCAUAUCCGGCAUCCUUGGUGCAGCCGGCGAGACUGAUUCUUCUUAGAGGGACAGGCAGCUUCUAGCUGCAGGAGGCUGGGCAAUAACAGGUCUGUGAUGCCCUUAGAUGUUCUGGGCAGCACGCGCGCUACACUGAAGGAAUCAACGUGUGUUCUCCUAGUCCGAGAGGUCCGGGUAACCCGUUGAAAGUCCUUCGUGCUAGGGAUUGGGGCUUGCAAUUAUUCCCCACUAACGAGGAAUUCCUAGUAAGCAGAGGUCAUUAGCUUCUGCUGAUUAUGUCCCUGCCCUUUGUCCACACCGCCCGUCGCUACCACCGAUUGAAUGAUGGGGUGAGGUCUUCGGACCAGUGCUGGGGCCUUCGGGGUUCCUCCGAAGACCGCAGAAACCGGGAAGAUGACCAAACUUCAUUAUUUAGAGGAUGUAAAAGUCGUAACAAGGUUGUCG
rnacentral:rRNA from 1 species